rnacentral:pre_miRNA from 1 species
CUCAUACUCCCUCCGUUCGGAAAUACUUGUCAUUGAAAUGGAUGUAUCUAGAUGUAUUUUAGUUCUACAUACAUUCAUUUUGAUGACAAGUAAUUCUGAACGGAGGGAGUACCCA